rnacentral:rRNA from 1 species
CAGUUCGGAUUGUAGGCUGAAACUCGCCUACAUGAAGCUGGAGUUGCUAGUAAUCGCGGAUCAGCAUGCCGCGGUGAAUACGUUCCCGGGCCUUGUACACACCGCCCGUCACACCAUGAGAGUCGGGAACACCCGAAGUCCGUAGCCUAACCGCGAAGGGGGGCGCGGCGAAGGUGGGUUCGAUAAUUGGGGUGAAGUCGUAACAAGGUAGC